rnacentral:tRNA from 1 species
GCUGAUAUGGCUCAGUUGGUAGAGCGCACCCUUGGUAAGGGUGAGGUCCCCAGUUCGACUCUGGGUAUCAGCCCCA